rnacentral:rRNA from 1 species
GACGAACGCUGGCGGCGCGCCUAACACAUGCAAGUCGAACGAGCGAGUGAGAGCUUGCUUUCUCGAGCGUGUGGCGCACGGGUGUGUAACGCGUGAGGAACCUGUCUCUAUGAGGGGGACAACAGUUGGAAACGACUGCUAAUACCGCAUAAGACCACGGCUCGCCAUCGAGCAGGGGGAAAAGGAGCAAUCAGCUUUGAGAUGGCCUCGCGUCCGAUUAGCUAGUUGGUGAGGUAACGGCCCAUCAAGGCGACGAUCGGUAGCCGGACUGAGAGGAUGAACGGCCACAUUGGGAGGGAGACACGACCAAGACACCUACGGGAGGCAGCGGUGGGGAAUAUUACACAAGGGGGGAAACCCAUAUGCAGCGACGCCGCGUGGAGGAAGAAGGUCAUCGGAUAAUAAACUCCUGUGGAUGGGGAAGAUAAUGAAGGGAACCAACAAAGAAGUGACGGCUAACUACGUU